rnacentral:rRNA from 1 species
CCUACGGGCGGCAGCAGUGGGGAAUAUUGCACAAUGGGGGAAACCCUGAUGCAGCGACGCCGCGGUAGUGAAGAAGUAAUUCGGUAUGUAAAGCUCUAUCAGCAGGGAAGAAAAUGACGGUACCUGACCAAGAAGCCCCGGCUAAAUACGUGCCAGCAGCCGCGGUAAUACAGAUGGGGCAAGCGUUAUCCGGAUUUACUGGGUGUAAAGGGAGCGUAGGCGGCAGGGCAAGCCUGAUGUGAAAGCCCGGGGCUCAACCCCGGGACUGCAUUGGGAACUGCCCCGCUCGAGUGCCGGAGGGGCAGGCGGAAUUCCUAGUGUAGCGGUGAAAUGCGUAGAUAUUAGGAGGAACACCAGUGGCGAAGGCGGCCUGCUGGACGGUGUACUGACGCUGAGGCUCGAAAGCGUGGGGAGCAAACAGGAUUAGAUACCCCGGUAGUC